GACGAACGCUGGCGGCGUGCUUAACACAUGCAAGUCGAACGGAAAGGCCCUGCUUUUGUGGGGUGCUCGAGUGGCGAACGGGUGAGUAACACGUGAGUAACCUGCCCUUGACUUUGGGAUAACUUCAGGAAACUGGGGCUAAUACCGGAUAGGAGCUCCUGCUGCAUGGUGGGGGUUGGAAAGUUUCGGCGGUUGGGGAUGGACUCGCGGCUUAUCAGCUUGUUGGUGGGGUAGUGGCUUACCAAGGCUUCGACGGGUAGCCGGCAUGAGAGGGUGACCGGCGACAUUGGGACUGAGAGACGGCCCAGACGCCUACGGGAGGCAGCAGGGGGGAAUAUUGCGCAGUGGGCGGAAGCCUGAGACAGCGACGCCGCGUGCGGGAUGACGGCCUACGGGGUAUAAACCGCUUUCGCCUGUGACGAAGCGGGAGUGACGGUAAUGGGUAAAGAAGCACCGGCUAACUACGUG
rnacentral:rRNA from 1 species